rnacentral:lncRNA from 1 species
ACAUUCUUUUCAAGCUCAACUAACAUCCCACUGCCACCAUCUUGGAUAAACUAUUUUUCUAGAAAUAUGGCAUUCCGACUCACAAUCAUAUCGUGAUCUUGUAAAAAAUAGAAGUAGUAUCUCAUUGAUUUUUUUGGAUACCCUAUAAAAUAAGCUAUUACAGAUCUAUCCUCUAAUUUAUCAGCCAUCUAUCUCUUGACAUAAGCCAGACAUUCCCAAGUCAUAAGAUAACCUAGACUCGACUUCUUACCAUAUCAAUGGGUGAACAACAGUUAAUAAGGUAUAUCUCCAAAGAUAUAAGGGUAAAUCAAUGAAGUUCAUUAUAGACCUGACCAUAUCUAAUAGAGUCAUGUUCUUCUUUCCAGAUAUCCCA